rnacentral:rRNA from 1 species
UACGUAGGGGUCGAGCGUUGUCCGGAGUUACUGGGCGUAAAGCGCAUGCAGGCGGCUCAUUACGCAUGGCGUGAAAGCCCCCGGCUCAACCGGGGAGGGUCGUCGUGAACGGGUGAGCUUGAGGGUAUCAGGGGCUGGUGGAAUUCCCGGUGUAGUGGUGAAAUGCGUAGAGAUCGGGAGGAACACCUGUUGCGAAGGCGGCCAGCUGGGAUACACCUGACGCUGAGAUGCGAAGGCGUGGGGAGCGAACGGGAUUAGAUACCCGCGUAGUCCCU